UACGGAGGGGGCUAGCGUUGUUCGGAAUUACUGGGCGUAAAGCGCGCGUAGGCGGCUUUGUAAGUUAGAGGUGAAAGCCCGGGGCUCAACUCCGGAAUUGCCUUUAAGACUGCAUCGCUAGAAUUGUGGAGAGGUAAGUGGAAUUCCGAGUGUAGAGGUGAAAUUCGUAGAUAUUCGGAAGAACACCAGUGGCGAAGGCGACUUACUAGACACAUAUUGACGCUGAGGUGCGAAAGCGUGGGGAGAAAACAGG
rnacentral:rRNA from 1 species